rnacentral:rRNA from 1 species
AAUGGGCGAGAGCCUGAACCAGCCAUGCCGCGUGCAGGAAGAAUGCCUUUGGGUUGUAAACUGCUUUUAUAUAGGAAGAAUGUAGAGACUUGUCUUUAUUUGACGGUACUAUAUGAAUAAGGACCGGCUAACUACGUGCCAGCAGCCGCGGUAAUACGUAGGGUCCGAGCGUUAUCCGGAAUUAUUGGGUUUAAAGGGUCCGUAGGCGGUCUUAUAAGUCAGAGGUGAAAUCUCACAGCUUAACUGUGAAAUUGCCUUUGAUACUGUAAGACUUGAGUGUGAAUGAAGUGGGCGGAAUGAGAUGUGAGCGGUGAAAUGCUUAGAUAUGUCUCAGAACACCGAUUGCGAAGGCAGCUCACUAAGCCACAACUGACGCUGAGGGACGAAAGCGUGGGGAGCAAACAGGAUU